CGGUCCAGGGGCUCUUCUUCAUGGUCCACGCUCGAGGAGGACCUCAGCAUGGGCCACGAGGUUGAUGAUAAAAAAACAAUAGAUUGAUUUUGGAAGGUAUGGAAAAGGAUUAAAAUUUUUUUCUUCUAAAAAUGUGGUUCAAGAGAUGCAUACAAAAAUUAAAAAGAAAAAUACCUUUUCUUACGGAAGGGAGUCUGACGGCUUGGGUUCUUAGCUCCAGCAGAUUUUUAGGUUUAUACAGGGAUAAACUAUGUAAUUAUGUUAUUUUAAUAUGGGCAUUUUUAUCAAAAAUAUAGCUUUCCGAAAAAGCUAAAACAGCUUCCUCCCAAAAGCUCCAAAUUGGAGCUUUCUCCCAAAAGCUGUUUUCAGCUUCCCGCAAAAGCUGAAACAGCUUUUUGAAAAAUUUACCAAACACAGUUUUUCAUCUAAAAGUACUUUUGGAGGGCCAGAAAGUGCCAAAAGCUCCCCCAAACAGGGCCUAAAGCGGUGUGCUUCUUACCGAUAUCUGGCUUAUGUGUGAUUUCUACUCGGAGAGAAAUUUUAAUCUUGCGGAAUAACAUCGUUCAGGGCUCAACCGUGAACCCC
rnacentral:lncRNA from 1 species